rnacentral:rRNA from 1 species
UACGUAGGGGGGCAAGCGUUGUCCGGAAUCAUUGGGCGUAAAGCGCGCGUAGGCGGCCCGGUAAGUCCGCUGUAAAAGUCCAGGGCUCAACCCUGGAAAGCCGGUGGAUACUGUCGGGCUAGAGUCCGGAAGAGGCGAGUGGAAUUCCUGGUGUAGCGGUGGAAUGCGCAGAUAUCAGGAGGAACACCAAUGGCGAAGGCAGCACUCUGGGACGUGACUGACGCUGAGACGCGA